GACGAACGCUGGCGGCGUGCCUAACACAUGCAAGUCGAGCGGAAGUAUUUGAGGAGCUUGCUUUUUGGAUACUUUAGCGGCGGACGGGUGAGUAACGCGUGAGUAACCUGGCCUGUACAGGGGGAUAACAGUUAGAAAUGACUGCUAAUACCGCAUAAGACCACAGUACCGCAUGGUACAGGGGUCAAAGAAAUAUCGGUACAGGAUGGACUCGCGUCCCAUUAGCUAGUUGGCGGGAUAACAGCCCACCAAGGCGACGAUGGGUAGCCGACCUGAGAGGGUGAUCGGCCACACUGGGACUGAGACACGGCCCAGACUCCUACGGGAGGCAGCAGUGGGGAAUAUUGGGCAAUGGGCGCAAGCCUGACCCAGCAACGCCGCGUGAAGGAAGAAGGUCUUCGGAUUGUAAACUUUUGUCGCCGGGAAGAGCAGAAGACGGUACCUGACGAAUAAGCCACGGCUAACUACGUG
rnacentral:rRNA from 1 species